rnacentral:rRNA from 1 species
CACCUACGGGGCGCAGCAGUGGGGAAUAUUGCACGAUGGGGGGAACCCUGAUGCAGCGACGCCGCGUGGGUGAAGGAGUACUUCGGUACGUAAAGCCCUAUCAGCAGGAAAGAAAAUGACGGUACCUGACUAAGAAGCCCCGGCUAACUACGUGCCAGCAGCCGCGGUAAUACGUAGGGGGCAAGCGUUGUCCGGAAUGACUGGGCGUAAAGGGUGCGUAGGCGGCGUAAUAAGUUAGAAGUGAAAUACCCAGAGCUUAACUCGGGUGCUGCUUCUAAGACUGUUGAGCUUGAGUGCGGGAGAGG